rnacentral:rRNA from 1 species
GACGAACGCUGGCGGCGUGCCUAAUACAUGCAAGUCGAACGCAGUGGGGACGGGUGAGUAACACGUGGGUAAGCUCCCAUCAGAGGGGAUAACACUUGGAAAAAGGUGCAAAACCGAAAUGGUGGGAUGAACCCGCGGUGCGUUAGCUAGUUGGUGGGGUAACGGCUCACCAAGGCCACGAUGCAUAGCCGACCUGGGAGGGGGAUCGGCCACACUGGGACUGAGACACGGCCCAGACUCCUACGGGAGGCAGCAGUAGGGAAUCUUCGGCAAUGGACGAAAGCCUGACCGAGCAACGCCGCGUGAGUGAAGAAGGUUUUCGGAUCGUAAAACUCUGUUGUUAGAGAAGCGGUAUCUAACCAGAAAGCCACGGCUAACUACGUGCCAGCAGCCGCGGUAAUAC